rnacentral:lncRNA from 10 species
AGUGAAGCUGACCCUCCAUCCUGAGCUGGUCUGGCCUGAGAGAGGUAGGGGUGAGAUGUGCUGGGAAGCCAGAAAGGGAGGUGCUGGUAAGAGACACCCCAUCCAGGGCCAGAACCGCGUGACUGCUCUUUGAGGUGCUUUGUUGGAGACCAUCAAUAUAUUAUUAUUUGUGGACAGAGGCUGCUUCAGGACACAUCUCUUGGUUUGAGGAGUGGAACUGGCAUUCAGCAAAUGCAGCACCCUUUGAAACCAACACCCUUGCUCUCCCAUUAGAGCUGGCCUCCACCACCUGUGACAGCCUGGUACCUGUGACUGAGGGCCUGGAAGGGAUUCCUCACUUCAAGCAGGAAUUCCACAGUGGGAGACAAACUCAGCCUCCCUUUGCCUCUGUCAGGAUGCAGGAUGAUGAUUAAAAGGAGCACUGGACUGAGAGUUUGGAAGCCCAGGUUCUAGCCCCUCUCCAGUCUUGUGUAAUGCUCUGGCAGUCAUUUCAUCUGUAAAGUGAGAAGGUUGGACAGGACAAACUCAACACUCUCUUCUGGAUCCAGCAUCUUUGUUUCUGUUAUUUAAUCUGUAUCCAAAGUGUCAUAGGUUUUCCUGUAAAACUUCUGUGAAUUAAAAGACAAAUCUCUGGAUAUGGGGGCACCGCAGAUUGCUCUGUGAAGUGAACUUUGAUUGCUGUAUUCUUGGAAACUUGGUGCCAUUCCCAUGUCCAGAGGACUAUUACCUAGAGGGAAGUACGGAGGAUGGGGGAGAGGAGCAGAAAGAGAAUGCUGGUCCGUGAAGCUGCUUGGAGGAAGUUGAGUUGCGUGUGUCCCUGUGGCAGAUCAGAACAUCCACCUUCAAGGAAUGGGAAUGUUUAGUGGGUUGGCAGAAUCCCAGUGAGCAAAGCUCUCCUUUACUCACUCCUAAUGGUGACUUCAUUCCACCACAAGCCCCAAAGUCCUAUUCACUUCUUUUAAGAAAUAUAUAUUAUUUUGUAAUUUUAAAACUUAAUGUGGUAUAUGUAUACAUAUUUAUGGGGUAUAGUUUUUAACAGAAAUAUACAUAAUUACAAUUUUCAGGUGAUUUUUGGGUGUUUUUGUUUUUAUUAAGUUCAGGGGUAUAUGUUCAGGUUACUUACACAGGUAAACAUGCUUCGUGGGGGUUUCUUGUGCAGUUUAUUUCAUCACCCAGAUAUUAAGCCUAGUACCCUUUAGUUAUUUUUUCUGAUCCUCUCCUUCCUUGCACCCUCUACCCUCCGAUAGGCCCCAGUGUGCGUUAUUCCCCUCUAUACCUCCGUGAGUUCCCAUCAUUUAGCUCCCACUUACAAGUGAGAACAUGAGGUAUUUGUUUUUCUGUUCCUGUGUUAGUUUGCUGAAGAUAAAGGCAGUCCUACUUACUUCUUUUUUUUUUUUAAAUUUAGAGUUUUUAUUUCAUCUGGAGCCUGCCUUCUCCAGCAGUAAUGGCUCUUCACUUCCUUCUUAUGUAAAUCCCACUCAUCCCACCCAUCCUCCUACAAGUUUCACGUCCUCUGUGCACCUUUCUGGAUAAAUCCAGCCCUUGCUCAUCUCCUCUUGCAUUCAAACUUCUCAUGCAUAUUUUAUUUCUCAGCUGCCUUUCACUGGUUUCCUGGGUUGGUUUGGCCCGCAGCUGGUCUGUAUCUCCAGAGAAUCAGCCCCGAGCUGUAUGCUGAGUGGGCCCUCCUGGUAUCUCAGAGGGUCUGAGGUGUAAAAAGGAGAUGGGAUGGAGUUCAAUGUCUCUGACUUUUGGAUACUUCUCGCUCUCAACCACAAAUGUUUAUUGAAUUUCUACGAUGUCCGGGGCUUGGUGCUGGGGAUUCCGCAGGGAACAAGACCAACAUAGCAUUGUUACUUGUUUCCCAGGCCUUUUAGUUUUUUCCGGGCCACUGAAACUUCUUCCUAAAGCUGAACAAUCAGGCCCAUAUGCAUACACACAUCUGAUUUAUUUUCCAGACAUGGCAAUUGUAG